UCUGUUUUGCUCAGUGAGUUGUUGACUGGUCUUCUGCUGGUUGAAUGUACCAGCACAAAAACACCCGUGGGCGUGCAUGCCUGUAUGUGCUUUUUCUUUUUUUCUUUUUUUUCUAGAAACCCAUGGGGCACUUUAAAGUGGGGGUUUUUCCAUAUAAAAGAAGAGAAAACAUCCCUUUGCCAGUACAGCUCUUUCAGACAAAUUGACCAGAAAAUGUUUUUGAAAUACAGGAACAAAUUCUCGAGAUAGUUGUUUUGGAUAGUUAUUAUUGAUGCUUGAACAUUAAACAUGUAUUUAAUAAAGAAAUUAUGCUAAGUUUCAA